GUACCGGGUGCUAAUUUAACAUUCACAGCCCCCCUGGCAUCAAGUUUCUGAGUAGAACGCUUUCAGUUAUUAUCUUUUAGUAAAAUAUUACUUAUCUUGCUCAGCAUUUUACCUUAAGUAAUUAAGAGAAAAUGAAUGUGUUACGAAGAAAAAGAAAGACAUCGGGGAGUUCUACUCUACAAGCUGAUCCAGCAUCUAAAAAAAGAGUAGAGAAGCUCUUCCAGAAAAAAUUCUCAUAUUCUCCAAACUCAAACAAAACAAUCUAUGAAAUGCCAUCACUAAGCAUUGCAUGUGAAUGUGAUGAAUGGCAAAUUGAAGAAACCCAGCAGAUGAAAAUGACAUUGAAUGCUGUCAAAGACAAACUCAGUGAUAAGGAUAUCUCCUCAUGGCAUGGACAUACGGGACAGAUGAAUUUGGCUGGAACUGUUAUAUCAGAGCUAAGAGAGAAUUUCAAGCCAGAACUUUGCACUCAAGCUUGGUGUAAAUUUUAUGAAAUUGUGUCGACUUUUAAGCUUAUUGACUUUGAUAUUCCAGAAGUGAAUUCGGUACAUCUGUGUGAGGCACCAGGAGCAUUCAUCACAAGCCUGAAUCAUUUCUUAAUAUCUCAUGAUUACCAAGGGACAUGGACCUGGUUUGGCAGCACUUUAAAUCCUUACUAUGAGGGAAACAAUGUCAGCCAAAUGAUCGCAGAUGACCGCUUCAUCCUGCACAGUUUGCCCUACUGGGACUUUGGAGUGGAUGACACUGGCAAUCUCAUGGACUGGGACAACUUCCAGCAGCUGGGGGACACCUGUUGUAAAAUGGGUUCUAUCCAACUGGUGACCUGUGAUGGCAGUAUUGACUGUCAGGACACACCAGGUGACCAGGAAUCGGUUGUAUCCCGCCUUCAGUGCUGUGAGGCACUUGCAGCUUUAACUAUCCUAUCUCCCAAUGGCUCUCUUGUCCUCAAAAAGUUCACCAUGUUUGAGUGUGAAACUGUCUGCCUCAUGUAUCUUCUCAACUGUGCCUUUGACCAGGUUGAAGUUUUCAAACCAGCCACCAGUAAAAGUGGGAACUCUGAAGUCUAUGUCAUCUGUACAGGUUUCCAUGGCAGCAGUACAAUAACAGGACUCACAGAUUAUGUCAAACACUAUUUUCAAAACCAAAAUGGAGGUGUUCAGAUGCUGUUUAAUCGAGACUGCAUUCCGGACACUUUUAUAUCUGAGCAUGUGGCAUGCUGUGAAAUGUUUACAUCACUUCAAAGGGAGACAAUCAGCAACAACUUGGAUCACUACCCGUCUGUAUCCGAUCAGUAUAUACUUUGGCUGGAGACUAUGAGGAAUUACUGUGCAGAGAUGUACCUCACAAAAUUUGAUCUGAAACAAAUACCAGUAAACUGUAGGAUUGGUCACAGCUACAAGAAGAAGAGAUUGAGCCAUACUGCCCAAAGCUUCAAAAAUGACUUGACACCCUUUGACCAGAAACGGCAUUCAGGAACCUUCACCCAGAGAAACAACUCAAAUUCAUUACCGUGGCAACAAAGAGUUCAUCUCUUGGACAGAUACAGUGUGAAACCUCCAAAGAUUAUCUGGUGUCAGUUUGAGAGCUUGCUGGAGGAAGUAGACUGUAAAAGCUGUGCGUGUGGUAGACCAGUAGACCGUCUCAUCAACUCACGUUUCUGUGAUGGCCGACUCAUACAACAAAUGCAGGAACUGAUACAAAAUACCAAGGACUACAGAAACAGCAGUCAUGCUCCACCAUUGUCAUCAGUCAGUCACGCUCUAGAUGGCCUCGUACAUGGAUGUGAGGAGUCUGAUAGUAAUACCUUAGAGGUCACAGAGGAGAAGUCAUCCUACACUGUUAUACUGUUGUCGAGUACACCCCAAUCAUCAGACACCGAUUCAUCAAAAGAUCCUCGGAUAACUAAGGUGCUGCAUAUGUCAUCGUCGUCAAUCCAGUCUCCUGAUGGGGGAAACAACAAUGUUUUCUAUGUGGAUGUAACAACGGACAGCUACUGUGGGGAGAUGGAGAUUCUGUCUCAGCCUUCUCUGUUGUCGUGGACACAGACGCUGUUAAAGACACUGAGGAUGACCGACUCGCUGAUUGUACGGAUGUCCAGUUGUCUGACUCGGUUUACUGCAGGCGUAGUCUACUUGUUAGGUCACUGUUUCAGUAAGAUCGGUUUCCUUCAAGACACAGAUGGAACCAGACUCCAGCAGCUCCUGAUUUGUGAAGAGUAUACAGGAACUCCAGUCUUGGUCCUUCAGCAGCUUGAAGUGAUUCAGGAAAAGUUUGACAAUAUCAGAGAAGAAUGCAUUCCACAAAUGUGCACGUUGGACUCUGAACAUGAAACGAAUGUACGAAGUGAAAUGGAGACCAGUACAGAGUGUCAUUCAACUACACAAAUCUCUGGAAAGAAAAUCAGCCAAAGGUCACGGAGAGCACUCUUGGAGACUGUGUCUUUGACAGUUCUUCUUAAUGAUUCCCUGUUUGUGGCCUCCCUGUGUCACACUAACGCAACUCUUUUGAGGACCUUUGUGAGGACUGUAGGGGACCUAGAGAGGGAGCGCUAUCCUAUGCAAACUGAUCGACUUGAAUGAUAGACUCAUACCAAUAUGUCUGGUAUGCAGAAACUAUAUGUGAAUGGUGAAUGAGGGCAGUAGACAUGUUGGGCAUAUGGAGGUCUGAAUGGUUUAGGCCUGGUGUUGAGAGGAGAGACAUGUCGGGUAUAUGGAGGUCUGAAUGGUUUAGGCCUGGUGUUGAGAGGAGAGACAUGUCAGGUAUAUGGAGGUCUGAAUGGUUUAGGUCUGGUGUUGAGAGGCGAGACAUGUCGGGUAUAUGGAGGUCUGAAUGGUUUAGGCCUGGUGUUGACAGGAGAGACAUGUCGGGUAUAUGGAGGUCUGAAUGGUUUAGGUCUGGUGUUGAGAGGAGAGACAUGUCAGGUAUAUGGAGGUCUGAAUGGUUUAGGUCUGGUGUUGAGAGAAGAGACAUGUCGGGUAUAUGGAGGUCUGAAUGGUUUAGGUCUGGUGUUGAGAGAAGAGACUACCACUACGUAUACUGUACAGAAGAUAGGUUAUGGAAUUGGUAUGUGUGAAAGACAGACAACACUUGGGAUCUAUUACUAAGACAGACUUGGAGGAAUAGUUUUCAAGUCUUUCUUAUGAAUAGUUAUGAAGUAGUCUGUCUUUCAGACUAGAAGGGUACUGAUGCUUAGGUGGCAAGUGGGAUUUGGUGUCCAAGGGGAAUUACUAUGGAAAGGACAGGCAAAGAGGAGAAUUGUUUUGGUAUGAAAAACAGGAUUGAAAUCAUUCAGGCAUUAAGUGAAUCAUCUAGAAUAUUUUUUGAUAUUUAUAUGCAAGAUAUUUUAAGAGCUGGAUGACAUUGCCAACAUGCUGACUGAGGAAAAAUUGUAAUCAAUGUUAAGCCUAUCAUGAUCAGAUCAACUGUGGUCUGCCACCUAACAAUCCAUAAACUAUCCUUGCUAUUGCUACUUCUUGAGAAGUAUCGGGUGGAAUGUUUCCCUUUUCCUUGGUUCAUAGUUAUGUCUGUUCAAAUUUGAGACUGAUCAGAAAGACAAAAUGGCGGACAAGUGGUCAUCUUGAAUUCUGACGGUUGAAGAUUAAUAUCACUAUCUCAUGUGAAAUGCUGAAAUGUUUUUGUUGGAGUGAUCUGAAUAACAGAAUGGUUGACAGUCAGAAAUUUGGAUUUUGACAGUUGAUGUUUGUUAUCACUUAGUCUAUUUCUUGGAUCUUUCCAGUAUUUCAUUUGUAAUUUCUUCUUUGUAGAAUGAUUACCGUUCAUAUUUUUGCUAAUAGAACAUGUCUAUGUGACAUAAGUGAAAGGGAAGACAAGAGAGAAGUUCAUUAAAUAUCAAACUGCCAUAGAAAAAAAUGGCGGAUACCAAGAUCUCUUUGGGAUUGGUCAUGAGUGUUGAAGUCUGUGAAAUUAAUUUGUUUUUGGUGUCAAUAACUUUAAGGUUUAAUGGAAAUAACAAACAAUACAUGACACUACAAGUAUGAUUCAUAGUGUAGUGUUAUUUACAUUUGAUAAUUUUACAUGAAUAAAACUUUUGUAUUGAAAAAAAAUUUGCAAAUUUUUUUCAUUGUGGUAAAAAUUAAAUGAUCUAUGAAGGGAUAACCUUUACUCUGACAUUAAUAU